rnacentral:rRNA from 1 species
UUCGCCCUUCUACGGGAGGCAGCAGUGGGGAAUCUUGCGCAAUGGGCGAAAGCCUGACGCAGCCAUGCCGCGUGGAUGAUGAAGGCCUUAGGAUUGUAAAUCCUUUCACCGGGGACGAUAAUGACGGUACCCGGAGAAGAAGCCCCGGCUAACUUCGUGCCAGCAGCCGCGGUAAUACGUAGGGUGCGAGCGUUGUCCGGAAUUAUUGGGCGUAAAGAGCUCGUAGGCGGUCUGUCGCGUCGGUCGUGAAAACUUGGGGCUUAACCCUGAGCUUGCGGUCGAUACGGGCAUGACUGGAGUUCGGCAGGGGAGACUGGAAUUCCUGGUGUAGCGGUGAAAUGCGCAGAUAUCAGGAGGAACACCGGUGGCGAAGGCGGGUCUCUGGGCCGAUACUGACACUGAGGAGCGAAAGCGUGGGGAGCGAACAGGAUUAGAUACCCUGGUAGUCCACGCCGUAAACGGUGGGCGCUAGGUGUGGAGGCCAUUCCCAGUCUCUGUGCCGAACUAACCAU